rnacentral:rRNA from 1 species
UACGAAGGGACCUAGCGUAGUUCGGAUUUACUGGGCUUAAAGAGUUCGUAGGUUGUUGAAAAAGUUGGUGGUGAAAUCCCAGAGCUUAACUCUGGAACUGCCAUCAAAACUUUUCAGCUAGAGUAUGAUAGAGGAAAGCAGAAUUUCUAGUGUAGAGGUGAAAUUCGUAGAUAUUAGAAAGAAUACCAAUUGCGAAGGCAGCUUUCUGGAUCAUUACUGACACUGAGGAACGAAAGCAUGGGUAGCGAAGAGG